GCGAAUGGAUUAAGAGCUUGCUCUUAUGAAGUUAGCGGCGGACGGGUGAGUAACACGUGGGUAACCUGCCCAUAAGACUGGGAUAACUCCGGGAAACCGGGGCUAAUACCGGAUAACAUUUUGAACCGCAUGGUUCGAAAUUGAAAGGCGGCUUCGGCUGUCACUUAUGGAUGGACCCGCGUCGCAUUAGCUAGUUGGUGAGGUAACGGCUCACCAAGGCAACGAUGCGUAGCCGACCUGAGAGGGUGAUCGGCCACACUGGGACUGAGACACGGCCCAGACUCCUACGGGAGGCAGCAGUAGGGAAUCUUCCGCAAUGGACGAAAGUCUGACGGAGCAACGCCGCGUGAGUGAUGAAGGCUUUCGGGUCGUAAAACUCUGUUGUUAGGGAAGAACAAGUGCUAGUUGAAUAAGCUGGCACCUUGACGGUACCUAACCAGAAAGCCACGGCUAACUACGUGCCAGCAGCCGCGGUAAUACGUAGGUGGCAAGCGUUAUCC
rnacentral:rRNA from 1 species